rnacentral:tRNA from 1 species
GGCUUUAUAGUUUAAAUUUUAAAAUAUCAAGUUGCAAACUUGGGGUUAUAACUUAUAUUGAAGCUU